rnacentral:rRNA from 1 species
UUGAACGCUGGCGGCAUGCCUUACACAUGCAAGUACGAACGGCAGCACGGACUUCGGUCUGGGUGGCGAGUGGCGAACGGGUGAGUAAUGUAUCGGAACGUACCUUCAGUGGGGGAUAACGUAGCGAAAGUUACGCUAAUACCGCAUAUUCUGUGAGCAGGAAAGCAGGGGAUCGCAAGACCUUGCGCUGAUUGAGCGGCCGAUAUCAGAUUAGCUAGUUGGUGAGGUAAAGGCUCACCAAGGCGACGAUCUGUAGCGGGGUCUGAGAGGAUGAUCCGCCACACUGGAACUGAGACACGGUCCAGACUCCUACGGGAGGCAGCAGUGGGGAAUUUUGGACAAUGGGGGCAACCCUGAUCCAGCCAUGCCGCGUGAGUGAAGAAGGCCUUCGGGUUGUAAAGCUCUUUCGGCCGGGAAGAAAUCGCAUGGGCUAAUACCCUGUGCGGAUGACGGUACCGGCAUAAGAAGCACCGGCUAACUACGUG